rnacentral:rRNA from 1 species
AACGAACGCUGGCGGCAUGCCUAACACAUGCAAGUCGAACGAGACCUUCGGGUCUAGUGGCGCACGGGUGCGUAACGCGUGGGAAUCUACCCUCAGGUUCGGAAUAACUCAGAGAAAUUUGAGCUAAUACCGGAUGAUGACGUAAGUCCAAAGAUUUAUCGCCUGAGGAUGAGCCCGCGUAGGAUUAGGUAGUUAGUGAGGUAAAGGCUCACCAAGCCGACGAUCCUUAGCUGGUCUGAGAGGAUGAUCAGCCACACUGGGACUGAGACACGGCCCAGACUCCUACGGGAGGCAGCAGUGGGGAAUAUUGGACAAUGGGCGAAAGCCUGAUCCAGCAAUGCCGCGUGAGUGAUGAAGGCCUUAGGGUUGUAAAGCUCUUUUACCCGGGAUGAUAAUGACAGUACCGGGAGAAUAAGCUCCGGCUAACUCCGUG